UAGAUUAGAAUGUGUAUCCGCACAAAGAGAGCUGAACGUGUGUAGAAUGUUUGAUUAUUUUUUUUCUAAGCACGAACACAAAUAUGUUCCUGCAACUGCUCAAAUCUGCCGCUACGAGUCUCAAGCGCUGUUUUUCACUUGCAAAUCUACAUUACGCUCUCUCGCUCUUCUGCACCAAAAAUCACUGUGACAUUUGGUGCAAAAGUUACUUGUGUAUCUGCCAACCAAAACGUGGGCUCUCAGAGAAAUUCAGCCAAUAGGGGAUGGGGCGUGACGUCACCGCUCUAGCGCUGCGGAGGCUGAACGUCGAAACCGAAACCCCCUUUGCGAGAUUCGCUGCAUCUAUACCUGAUUUGCGUUCAAAAAUGCCAGCUUAAUUAUUUCAUAGUAGGAGCAAACAUGCCUUAAGAAAAGGAGUAGGUUUGAAACUUUAGUAACCAUAAAAAGUACGCCAGGUGGAUGCCUUUCUACUCCAGGAAGCCGCAGCCUACGGCCUGAAGGAGGAAGAGGACGCGGUCAGUUUGAAAUAGCUGUUGUGAUAGAGCUGGACCUGUAGACAAGGGAACUAACACAUUUGAGGAAAAAAGAAUCCAAAAUAAGAGAUUGGUGUGUGUGGUGAGGGUAAAGAAGUCCACAUGCAGCAGCAUCUUGGAAAUGCUGUAAUGCAGGGGUGCCCAAACUCAGUUCUGGACAGCUGGUGUCCUGCAGAGUUUAGAGUCAACUUCAACUAAACUCUGCAAGACAGCAGCAGUUCUAGACUGAGUUUAGCCACUCCUGUUCUCCUGUAGUGAACUGAACGAGACCCUGCAUCAGUCCACAUGCCCUUGUGUCCUCAUCUGGACCAG